rnacentral:siRNA from 1 species
UCAUGCAGAUUUCUCCAAAAUUU